rnacentral:rRNA from 1 species
CUGAACCAGCCAAGUAGCGUGAAGGAUGACUGCCCUAUGGGUUGUAAACUUCUUUUAUAAAGGAAUAAAGUCGGGUAUGCAUACCCGUUUGCAUGUACUUUAUGAAUAAGGAUCGGCUAACUCCGUGCCAGCAGCCGCGGUAAUACGGAGGAUCAGAGCGUUAUCCGGAUUUAUUGGGUUUAAAGGGAGCGUAGAUGGAUGUUUAAGUCAGUUGUGAAAGUUUGCGG